GGGAAAUGGGACGUCCAGAAGAAGGCGAGGAGCUAGAGUGGUAGAGAGGAGCAGAGAAAAAGAGAACUUAAAGUGCAGAAGUCCUUCAUUUAUUGUAACAGCAGAAAUAGCUUCCUCUUGCUUAAGGAGCAGCUCUUACACCAGCCACGCUUCUCCUUAGCUGGGAGAUGAAAGCUCCUAGCCUCCAGCUGGGUGAUUAACAGAAGAGAUGGCCUCACGGAACCCCCUGCUUCCCUCUUCAAAAAGAAGCAAAAGAACUAUUUUUUUCCCUGGAGUGGUUGAUACCACGGAGCAAAUUGGUAACCAUAUUUGAGGGAGCAUGUCUGAUGUUUCACUCAAUAGCCUUAGCUACAGGCGCCUGCACAGGUGGCGGAUUUGGGUUCUCACACACAAUAGUGUGAUCUUCAUCACUGGGGGUAAUGUGUCACACAGUGCUUUUGCAGCUGCACAGAUUGUGUUCCAGCAGUAUGUCAGAGCAGCCCAUACAAUCAUGACAAGCACAGUUCAACUGUGUGCAUUUUGCUUUCAUCUGAUCCCUCCCUGCGUGCUCAGCUCCCGUAACUCCCGCUCAGCAUUCACAAUUCCAUGACUGCCAGCUCGUAUCAAGAACCAAAGCUCCUGGGAAAUGCUGCAGCUUUCCAAGGCAGAAAGAUCACUUUUGAGUUGGAGGCAUUGCCACACGUAUUGCUUCAGCCACACUUGGCAUACUUCCCCAAGCCUACAGAUGCAGCGUUACUCGCGGGGAUCACCAGAAUGCUCUGAAAACCAGCCAGAGGAGUGCUUACUGAAAUGAGCGCCUUGUAAGAGCAAUAAGCUUUGUUUCCGUGUGAAUUUUAUACCAAUACGACACAAAAGGAAAAGCACAAACCACCUGCGCAUCCUGCUGCACGUGGGCAUGCUUUGAAACCAGACUGGAAGUUUGUUGAACACAGUUAGAAAUGUGAAGCAGUUACUCCUCCCAUAUGGUUUAUUGAAGAUCUCAGUUUUCAAAGCAUGAGUAGCAGUGAGGCCCAUUAUUCGUUCCAACAUGCAAAAGGCACAAAAAAGUCAUAAACGUGAUUCUGUGCAAAGUGUCUCUAAGAAAACACACAGCGAGGAAAUGACAGAAAGGAGCCCCCAGCGGAAGAGAAAGCCAAGGCGUCCUCAGAGAAUGCUGACAGUUCUGGAAGUGGUGGUCCUUUUUCAGAGUCCAGAUACGCUCAGGUGGUGAGAGAUGCUCUGCGAAUCCAUGAAAGGAAACUCAAGACGGAGGCAGAAGGCCCAAACAAGGAUCCCCUUCGUGUGCCAAAGCUCGGGGUGGGAGUCAAAGCCGUUCAUCUCAGGAGAAGAACGUGGCAGUUAAAGACAGGCAUCAAAUUCUGUUUCAAAAAAAAAAAGCCCACCAAAACCAGACGUAGAAAGUGGAUGUACGCUACGAGCAGCUCCAUAAAAACAUUCUUUUUGAUGAAAAUAAUUAAAAAAAAAAAAAAGUAAUUGAAGAAUGCAAAUCCACCUUGACCAUGAGCAGCUACCGCACCCUGCCCCCAGAAAAGCCUUCAAGCACAACACUGGUUUCCAGAAGAAGAAAGUCCCCACUACUUGUAUGUUUGAAAUGUGGCCGGUGAACGCUCUGGAAACACGAAUAGGGCUGAGUAUCCAAGUCCCACUGUUAACCUGGGUGUAGGGAGCUCCUCGAGGUGCCCAUCUCCCCCUGGAGCUGCACCAGCAGCGCUUCCCAGUGGGUGUGGGGAGCCAGGCCAGCCCCGGAGCCUCCGGCUGGAGUGGAAUACUUAAACCUAACAAAGGCAUUUACAAGUCAAUGCAUUUUUGUUGUUGUUAUUUCCUUGCAGUAUACUUUUCUACUUCUAGACUAUGGAAUGUUACAUUAAACAAUAUUAUUAUUCAUACCUUGCCUCAGAUUUCGUUACAGUUACUGAAGCUUCGUCAUAAUUUCACACAGCACAGAGACACCAAACUAAACACCAAGCUGCCAGCAUUAGAUGUAUUUUUUCUUUAAGUACCAAUAAGCAAAAUAU
rnacentral:lncRNA from 1 species